UGACCUACGGGAGGCAGCAGUGGGGAAUCUUAGACAAUGGGGGCAACCCUGAUCUAGCCAUGCCGCGUGAGUGAUGAAGGCCUUAGGGUUGUAAAGCUCUUUCAGCUGGGAAGAUAAUGACGGUACCAGCAGAAGAAGCCCCGGCUAACUCCGUGCCAGCAGCCGCGGUAAUACGGAGGGGGCUAGCGUUGUUCGGAAUUACUGGGCGUAAAGCGCACGUAGGCGGACCAGAAAGUUGGGGGUGAAAUCCCGGGGCUCAACCCCGGAACUGCCUUCAAAACUAUUGGUCUGGAGUUCGAGAGAGGUGAGUGGAAUUCCGAGUGUAGAGGUGAAAUUCGUAGAUAUUCGGAGGAACACCAGUGGCGAAGGCGGCUCACUGGCUCGAUACUGACGCUGAGGUGCGAAAGCGUGGGGAGCAAACAGGAUUAGAUACCCGAGUAGUCG
rnacentral:rRNA from 1 species